GAAAUUUCUUUUUUUUUAAAGGUGUGGUGUUCACCUUUUCUCAUGUCAUAUAGGAAUUCAGGUCUGGAUCCAAGCUGGUUGCAAACACGGUCAGAUCAGGGUGUUGAUGAGGCAUCUUGCAUCUGCUGAGGCAGUGCUGGUGGGAAGAACAGGUGAGACAGCUUCUGAGAACUGUCUCUCACCAGACAACAUUGCAAGUACAUAAUCCUUGGCAGUUGGCCCAGACGGUCAGGGAAGUCCUUCCACAUGUACCCAACGAACUAAUUUUCCAGAGCCUUGGGGGUCUUUUAAAAUAUCAUGUUGCAGUCUGAUGAUGUGCU